rnacentral:rRNA from 1 species
GUAGGUGGCAAGCGUUGUCCGGAAUUAUUGGGCGUAAAGCGCGCGCAGGCGGUUUUUUAAGUCUGAUGUGAAAGCCCACGGGCUCAACCGUGGAGGGUCAUUGGAAACUGGAGAACUUGAGUACAGAAGAGGAAAGCGGAGUUCCACGUGUAGCGGUGAAAUGCGUAGAGAUGUGGAGGAACACCAGUGGCGAAGGCGGCUUUCUGGUCUGUAACUGACGCUGAGGCGCGAAAGCGUGGGGAGCAAACAGGAUUAGAUACCCUGGUAGUCCACGCCGUAAACGAUGAGUGCUAAGUGUUAGGGGGUUUCCGCCCCUUAGUGCUGCAGCUAACGCAUUAAGCACUCCGCCUGGGGAGUACGGCCGCAAAGGCUG